CAGCUCUCAAAGGGAGCUGAUAGCCCAAACUGUGGGGAGAAGAGGAGGGUCAUACAGCAAGUCUGCCAUGGACUCCUGCAAAGAGGGAAACUGGAGCUGUAUAGUCCUGGAUGGAUUAUGUGACACUGCACUCACUAAAGAGGAAGGGGACCUGGGGGAAGAUGAACAGUUUCAAACCCAAAGUGUUUGGAGAGAGUGAAGCCCCCAAUUUCUAUAGCACAAGGGGAAAAUCUUGCCUUGGGAAACAAAUUGAAGCAAUGCAGAGAAGACAGUCUGUACUUCACCAGCCUGCCUAUCGAAGCCCCACAGCAGCAAACAGCCAGUCCUGACACAGCUCAGCCCCCUCUCGGAUUUCGCUUGCAAGCUCCAGACUCCUAAGAACAGAACACCAAUGUAUUCAGAAGCACCCCAUGCCUGUGGAGUGUGUUCAGACCCCAGAGACUGGGGACAAUGAAGAUCAUCUGGUGAACAGAAUGGUGGCAGGUAAGAAGGGACAAGUCAAGGAACAGCUCUCCUAGAGUGGGGUAGGAGGCUUAGGUGGAAGGAUAUCAAUUUACCCUGCUUGUCUCAUGUCAUGGCAUACCUCUUAAUGGUACAAGGGGCUCAUCAGUCACUCAUCAGUCAUUACAUUCUUAAAGGGAAACAUUUGAAACAGGGAAGGACAAAGGAAUGUUUAUAGGUGAGUUUCAGGUUCCCCGUGCUGAUUAGGAAUACUUGGUAAAAUGAACUGGCUACUAUGGCCCUAGCCUUACAAAACAUACACACAUGCUGAACUUCCAUGCGAAUAGUCUCACUGAAGUCAAGUGCAUGUUUGAAGGAUCAUGGCCAGGAGAAGCUUAGUAGCUCCACUGAAGUCAACUGGACUCUUUGGGGGAGCAAGGUUCUGCAGGAUCAAGCCCCGAAUGAGAACCUCAAGUGGUAUGUUAUACAUUCAUUUUUAUAUUUAUUUGAGAAUAAGAUGAAACAAAAACAUUCCAUUGUGAAUGUGAUGCAACACUAUUUUGUAUCAUUUUAAAAACUGUCAGUAUGAUAUGAAGCAAAAGAUUUAUGGGUGUAUGGCUUAUUACAACAAUCUAUAACCCACUAACCCCCUCUUUUUGUCCUAGGGCUGCCACGGUGUUAA